CCUACGGGAGGCAGCAGUGGGGAAUAUUGGGCAAUGGAGGCAACUCUUAUCCAGCAAUGCCGCGUGAAUGAAGAAGGUCUUCGGAUUGUAAAGUUCUUUCAUUCGGGACGAAAAAAAUGACGGUAACCAAGGAAUAAGCCCCGGCUAACUACGUGCCAGCCGCCGCGGUAAUACGUAGGGGGCAAGCGUUGUUCGGAAUGAAUGGUGGGGAAGGGUGGGUAGACGGUGUAGCAAGUUAGAAGGGAAAUACCUAGAGCUUAACUCAGGUGCUGCUUCUAAAACUGCUAUACUUGAGUGCAGUAGAGGAAAGUGGAAUUCCUAGUGUAGCGGUGGAAUGCGUAGAUAUUAGGAGGAACAUCAGUGGCGAAGGCGACUUUCUGGACUGUAACUGACGCUGAGGCACGAAAGUGUGGGGAGCAAACAGGAUUAGAUACCCGAGUAGUC
rnacentral:rRNA from 1 species